rnacentral:tRNA from 1 species
GGCUCUGUGGUGAAGUUCAUGGUGAGUUGCAAGCUCAUUGAUGUGUAUUAAUAGUACACCGGGGCCUU